CCUACGGGUGGCUGCAGUGAGGAAUAUUGCGCAAUGGAGGCAACUCUGACGCAGCCAUGCCGCGUGCAGGAAGAAGGCGCUACGCGUUGUAAACUGCUUUUAACCGGGAAGAAACCCCAGGACGUGUCCUGGGUUGACGGUACCGGAGGAAUAAGCACCGGCUAACUUCGUGCCAGCAGCCGCGGUAAUACGAAGGGUGCAAGCGUUAUUGGGAUUCAUGGGGGCGAAGGGGUGCGUAUGAGUGAGGGGUGAAAGCCUACAGCUCAACUGUAGAAUUGCGAUUGAUACUGGCGCUCUUGAGUGCGCUUGAAGUAGGCGGAAUGUGCCGUGUAGCGGUGAAAUGCUUAGAUAUGGCACAGAACACCAAUUGCGAAGGCAGCUUACUAAGGCGAUACUGACACUGAGGCACGAAAGCGUGGGGAUCGAACAGGAUUAGAUACCCUUGUAGUC
rnacentral:rRNA from 1 species